rnacentral:tRNA from 1 species
GGGAGUGAAGCAUUAAAAUAGUAAUGCGUUUCGUUUACACUGAAAAGAUCUUUGGUUAUAAAGCAUUCCUU